GUAAUAUAAUUAUAGGUACACUAUAAUUAUGGCAGCUCCAAAAAAACUACUACAAAAUGGUUUAGUUUAAAUUUGUUAUUUUUCAGAGGACUUCUUUUUUCUUUUUUUUCUUUUUUUAAAAUUUAACAAAAUUAUAUAUAUAUUGUUAUUUAAUUACAUACAAUAUAAUAAUAUAUUCUAAAAGAAAGGAAAAAAAAAUAAAUGUGUUUUUAUUUUAAAAACACUGAUUUUGUUCUUGUAAAAAACAAAAGCUAAAUAUAAAUAUACAUAUAAAUAUACAUAUGUAUAUAAAUUAUUUUUAUGCUUUUAAUGUUCAUAACCUUGUAUAUGUUUAUGCAUUAUAUAUAUAUAUAUAUAUAUUUUUUGUUUUAUUUUUUUUUUUUAUUUUUUCAAAUAUAUACACUUAUAUAUAUGUAUAUAUAGUGUAUGACUUUUUUUUUUUGUUUGUUUUAUUUGUUCAGUUUUUAAUCAAAAUAAAGAUGUGGUGACAUAUAUAUAUAUAUAUAUAUAUAUGUACGUUAUAUCUUUUUUGUUAAAACUAUAACUUAUAUAUUUUGUUUUUGUGAAUGUUGUACUUAUAUGUUUUAAGCGCGUUUUUAUUAAGAAUUAUUAACUUUUUUGUUUUCCUUAUAAAACUUUGUACCACGUUAAUAAAAAUUAAAAUGUUUUCAUUGUGCUAUUGUACUGUGAAAUUUCUUGACCGUUUUUUUUUUUUUUUUUUUUUUUUUUAUUUCUUCAUAGCAAAUAAAUUAUAUUUUUUUUUUUUUUUUUUGUUUCUGUUUUUUGAUCAUAAAUUAUGAUUAUUUUAGUGAACACUUACAUAAUUGUACUGUACAUGUAAUUUGCUCUUUUCUUUUUAUGUUCCCAUUAUAUGUUCCAAUUAUAUGAUAAAAAAAAAAAAAAAAAAAAAAUGUUAAACAUUUUACACGAUUCCGAACAACAACAAUAAAAAAAAAUGUAUUUUUUUAAGCCAAUAAACAGAACAGUUUAUUUUAUUUAUAACACUAAAAGAACACAUUUAAAUUUUAAAUUGUAUCUUAAAUUUAAACAGUGGAAUUAUUUAAAAAAUGAAAUUAUUACUUAUUUCAAUUCUACUAAAAAGGUAAAUACAGUAGUAGAUAUUGAAGCUAACCACUGGGAAAAAUUUAAAAAAAAAGAAGUAAUACAAGUACAUGGUUAUAUCCCAGCAAUAAUAUGGAAAUAUGGAUCAGAAAAACGAAUUUGUAUACAACACAAGUUAAUUGAUGAAUACGCUUUUGAAGAGGAAGAUGGGCAUUUAUCCAUGUUAUUUUCGGCUAGACUGUUUAGAAUACAUCUUGAUGGAGAGGUCACAGAAUGUGUUGUAUCUUAUGUUGAAGCAGAUCCUGUUGAAAAGCACAUAUACUUUUUAAAGUUUGCACGAGUUGUAGAAAAUAAAAUAACUGAGUUAAACAUCCCUUGCAGCUUAAUUGGCUUAAUAGGAUGUCCUGCUUAUAUUAAUGGAUACCAUGUCCAGUUGGCUUUAAAUUAUAUAAAAUGUAAAGUAUUAGGAAACAAUAUUCCCCCACCUUUUCAAAUUGAUGUCUCUAAGUUAACAUAUAAAGAACCAUAUAAUUCUAUUAAUUUAAAGGAUUUAAAGGUAAACAUCGAAAAAAAAAAAAAAAAAAAAAAAAAAAANNNNNNNNNNNNNNNNNNNNNNNNNNNNNNNNNNNNNNNNNNNNNNNNNNNNNNNNNNNNNNNNNNNNNNNNNNNNNNNNNNNNNNNNNNNNNNNNNNNNAUUUUUUCCGAAGAGUAUGAUUUAGAUAAGACAGAGGUAGUUUGGACAUAUGAAACAGGAAAAAUACCAGAAACACCGUUACCAGACGAUUAUAUGGACCCCAACUUUUUGAACAAACAAGGAAAAAGAAUUCAAUUAACAUAUAAAGAUUAUUGGCCAAAACAAUAAAUGUAAUUUUUUUUUUUUUUUUUACACCGUAGUAAACUUUUUUGUUUAAACAUAGUACUAUACCUUCUUAUUUUUUUUUUUUUUAUUCUCUACUUAUCAUUCGUUUUCUUUGCUUUCUUUGUUUUCUUUGUUUUCUUUGUUUUCUUUGUUUUCUUUUCUUUCUUUGUUUUCUUUUCUUCCUUUGUUUUUUUUGUGUUACUGUAUUUUACUUUAAUUUAAAAAAAUUAGGAUCGAACUGCAGUUACAACAUUUUCUAUUUUUUAAAAUUGCUCCUAAAAUAAAAAAAUAUAUAUCAAAUAAAUUAAUAAUGAA
ensembl:lncRNA